rnacentral:rRNA from 1 species
AGAGUUUGAUCCUGGCUCAGGAUGAACGCUAGCGGUAUGCUUAACACAUGCAAGUCGUACGAGAGUUUUUAACUCUAGUGGCGGACGGGUGAGUAACGCGUGAGAAUUUGCCUGUAGGAGGGAAAUAACAGUAGGAAACUGCUGCUAAAGUCCCAUAUGCCUUUUGGUGAAAUAGAGUAAUCUGCCUACAGAAAAGCUCGCGUCUGAUUAGCUUGUUGGUAGGGUAAAGGCCUACCAAGGCGAUGAUCAGUAGUUGGUCUGAGAGGAUGGUCAGCCACACUGGGACUGAGACACGGCCCAGACUCCUACGGGAGGCAGCAGUGAGGAAUUUUCCGCAAUGGGCGAAAGCCUGACGGAGCAAUACCGCGUGAGGGAUGACGGCCUUUGGGUUGUAAACCUCUUUUUUCAAGGAGGAAGUUCUGACGUGUACUUGAAGAAUAAGCAUCGGCUAACUCCGUGCCAGCAGCCGCGGUAAGACGGAGGAUGCAAGUGUUAUCCGGAAUUAUUGGGCGUAAAGCGUCUGUAGGUUACCUAGCAAGUCUAUUGUUAAAGGUUAAAGCUCAACUUUAAAACUGCAGUAGAAACUGCUAGGCUCGAGUAUAGUCGAAGUAAAGGGAAUUUCCAGUGAAGCGGUGAAAUGCGUAGAUAUAGGAAGGAACAUCAGUGGCGAAGGCGACGCCCUGGCUUGAUACUGACACUGAGGUGCGAAAGCGUGGGGAGCAAACGGGAUUAGAUACCCUGGUAGUCCACGCCGUAAACGAUGUCUACUAGCCGUUGGGGGACUUGAUCCCCUAGUGGCGAAGCUAACGCGAUAAGUAGACCGCCUGGGGAGUACGGUCGCAAGAUUAAAGCUCAAAUGAAUUGACGGGGGCCCGCACAAGCGGUGGAGCAUGUGGUUUAAUUCGACGCAACGCGAAAAACCUUACCUGGUCUUGACAUCCUGCGAACUUUCUAGAGAUAGAUUGGUGCCUUCGGGAACGCAGUGACAGGUGCUGCAUGGCUGUCGUCAGCUCGUGUCGUGAGAUGUUGGGUUAAGUCCCGUAACGAGCGCAACCCUUGUCCUUAUUUGCAAGCACGUCAAUGGUGGGAACUCUAAGGAGACUGCCGGUGACAAACCGGAGGAAGGUGGGGGCGACGUCCAGUCAUCAUGGCCCUUAUGACCAGGGCUACACACGUGCUACAAUGGAGCGUACAGAGGGUUGCUAAGCCGCGAGGUGGAGCCAAUCCCAGAAAACGUUUCGGUAGUACGGAUCGAAGUCUGCAACUGCGAUUUCGUGAAGUCGGAAUCGUAUAGUAAUCGCGAAUCAGCAUGUCGCGGUGAAUACGUUCCCGGGCCUUGUACACACCGCCCGUCACACCAUGGGAGUGGGUUGCAAAAGAAGUGGUUAGUCUAACCUUCGGGAGUAACGGUCACCACUUUGUGAUUCAUGACUGGGGUGAAGUCGUAACAAGGUAACC